CUUGUACACACCGUCCCGUCACACCAUGGGAGUUGGUUCUACCCGAAGGCGAUGCGCUAACCCGCAAGGGAGGCAGUCGACCACGGUAGGGUCAGCGACUGGGGUGAAGUCGUAACAAGGUAGCCGUAGGGGAACCUGCGGCUGGAUCACCUCCUUUCUAAGGAUACGUCUCCAGCAAAGCUCUCACGAGGUUUGUUAUUGAUGUUCCAAUAAAAUGCGGUUCGCCGCCGUCUUCGUUUCUCUUUCCUAUUUCAUGCCUUACGGCGCCGGACAUUGGUCUGGCUUGUGAGGCAUGCGAUCGCGAGCCUGGUCUUUGUUGACCGGCUGUCGUGCGGCCAUAGGCCCGUAGCUCAGCCUGGUUAGAGCGCACGCCUGAUAAGCGUGAGGUCGGCAGUUCGAGUCUGCCCGGGCCUACCAGCCCCCACCAGACUAGUUCUGCUGGACUGAAAGCAGCAUGACCCGCACCGACAAGCUCUCCUGAGCCUCGCACUGUUCCUUGGAAUGGGGCCGUAGCUCAGUUGGUAGAGCGCCUGCUUUGCAAGCAGGAUGUCGUCGGUUCGACUCCGUCCGGCUCCACCAGGCCGCCCCGCGGCCCUGGAAUAGACCUGAGGCUCCCGUUGGACGCCUCGGUUGUUUCCCUGGAACUCGUAGAUCGCAUCAAGAGAUUGCCCCGGCUGCCUUGCAGCUGACGGCAUUGAUAUUGUGAAGGAAGAAUUGAUCCGGCCUGUUCAUAGGCUUUGAGGAUCCGUUCGAGAGAAGACAUUGUCUGACAAAAAUCAGGCAGGAACCCGCUGGCAUUUCUUUCCAGUCAGCGGAAUUAUUUCCUGCAUGAGUUUUGCUGANAAACGAUCAAACGUUGAANGGCUUCUGACGGAUGCCUUGGCGUAGAGAGGCGAUGAAGGACGUGGCAAGCUGCGAUAAGAACCGGGGAGGCGCUAGCACCCUUUGAUCCGGUUAUUUCCGAAUGGGGGAACCCACCUUUACAGUCUUCCAACUUUGCUCUCCCUUGGGAGGGUACGGAUUGGCGGAUUGUUCAAAGGUAUAAUGACCUGAAUACAUAGGGUUCAUUAAGCAAACCCGGGGAACUGAAACAUCUAAGUACCC
rnacentral:misc_RNA from 1 species